rnacentral:rRNA from 1 species
UACGUAGGGUGCAAGCGUUGUUCGGAAUCAUUGGGCGUAAAGCGCGUGCAGGUGGUUAGGUAAGUCGGAUGUGAAAUCCCUGGGCUCAACCGAGGAAGUGCAUUCGAAACUACCUAGCUAGAGGACAGUAGAGGAAGGUGGAAUUCCUAGUGUAGAGGUGAAAUUCGUAGAUAUUAGGAGGAAUACCGGAGGCGAAGGCGACCUUCUGGGCUGUUCCUGACACUGAGACGCGAAAGCGUGGGUAGCAAACAGG